rnacentral:rRNA from 1 species
UACGUAGGGCGCAAGCGUUGUCCGGAAUUAUUGGGCGUAAAGAGCUCGUAGGCGGCCUGUUGCGUCCGCUGUGAAAUCCCGGGGCUCAACCCCGGGCGUGCAGUGGAUACGGGCUGGCUGGAGGCAGGCAGGGGAGAACGGAAUUCCUGGUGUAGCGGUGAAAUGCGCAGAUAUCAGGAGGAACACCGGUGGCGAAGGCGGAUCUCUGGGCCGAUACUGACGCUGAGGAGCGAAAGCGUGGGGAGCGAACAGG